CUGAUUGAAUGUGUGUUUAUAGAUCAACUAUGUUUAGAUGGGCUUUGAUUUCCCUGUGUUGCAUAGCACAUUAUGAUGCGUCCUCAGCACAGGACAGGAUUGAACAGACUUCAAGAGAAAUGACUGAAAGUGAAGGAGCUCAAGUUAUUUUAAUGUGUGUGAGUUUUGGAGAUGAAAUCACAGCAGACAGCACUGAGGAAUCUGCUGCAGUGGGUUCAACUGUUACUUUAUCCUGCAGUUAUUCCUCUGCACAAUCACUUCAAUGGUACCGUCAGUAUCCCGGAUCAGCUCCUCAAUUUCUUGUGCUUAUAAUAGAGAGUGUGAAAGAGACUAAGACAUCUGAUGUAGAUCCCAGAUUCUUCACUAAGCUCCGAAAAGAAAAACAAGAUACAAAAGAAAUCAAACAUGUGGAUCUGAUCAUCUUCUCUGCUGCUGUAUCAGACUCUGCUCUGUACUACUGUGCUCUGAGGUCCACAGUCACAGGAAACACAAGAACACUGUACAAAAACCUGACACAGAUGAAGGUGUAA